UUGAAGGUCCCGCGGCCUGACAUCCGGUAUCUUCAUCCUUCUCCUCCAUGAACUUGACGCGCCAUCUUGUCAGCCCUGGCCGUCCUCAGCGAACUCAUUCCGUCUCUGUCCGCAAGUUUGGGCGUUUUCCCAUCCUGCUCCUCACUUCCAUCACCGUAAACGGACAUUUCACCGUAAAAGGAAGGAGGCUGACUUUUUCCUUUGGGUCGUCUUGUCUCCGGUUUGUAGCCGCUAGAAUUUUUUAACAGCCCACGGGAGAAGCUGACUUUCUAGCGGACCGGUAAACUCCGCCGACAGCGUCCAUGCUGAUCCCCACACAGGGAAUGCGGUCGUGGCUGAUCUGGGAUGAGCCAGGCGGGGUUUAGGGUGCAGGACUCGGUGUGUGUCUGGAGGAGGCUGCUGUCUGCGGUCAUGAAGCUGCCCUGCUCUCUCUACUGCUCCCUGUGGUUCCUGCUGCUGCUGGGAGCCGGAUCUCUGCUGCUGCUCGUCCACCUGCAGGAUCUCACCGAGACGGUCCAACAGCAGACCCCAGGCGAGAACAUGCUGGUGGCUCCCAGGUGGCCCGUGGAGAAGGAUGUGGUGACCGACAGCACAGCUGGUGCCGAGCAGAGUGAAGCCAUUGAUGCGGUGUCCCAGGUCUCUGGCUCUGACCUCAGACGGCAGCAGCCGUCUCUCUCUGUGUUUUCUAACUCGUCUCCAUCAGUGUUUGAUGACGCUUCAAUCGGAUCCAAACAGCCGGUCACCAAACGUCACAGGAAGCUGCUUCUGAAGAGCAGCGUUGCAGCUUCCAGCGCCCCCGGUGGUGGAGAGGAGGAGCAGCAGCGGAAGCAUCAGCUGAAGCUGGCGAGGACGCAGGGGUCCCGCCGCCGCCUGCUGAGUGAGGUCUGUGUCAAAUACCAGCCGGGCGUCACCGAGCGGCCGGUCUCUCAGCGGCAGGUGUCACGGGUUUAUGUGGAGGACAGGUCCCGGCUGCUGUACUGUGAGGUGCCCAAAGCCGGCUGCUCCAACUGGAAGCGGGUACUGAUGGUGCUGGGCGGCAGCGCCACCUCCACGCGAGACAUUCCUCAUGACGCGGCACAUUACGCGAACCACCUGCGACGACUGGAGAGCUACGACCGCGCCGGCAUCGCCGAGAGACUCCGCUCCUACACCAAAGUGCUGUUUGUCAGGGAGCCCUUUGAGCGUCUGGUGUCGGCCUUUCGGGACAAAUUUGAGAGUCCGAACUCGUACUACCACCCUGUGUUUGGACGCCCCAUCAUCUCCAGAUACCGUGCCAACGCCAGCCGCACCGCGCUGCGCACCGGCGCCGGCGUCACCUUCAGGGAGUUCGUCCAGUAUCUGCUGGAUGUGCGUCGGCCGGUGGGGAUGGACAUCCACUGGGAGCCGGUCAGUCAGCUGUGUAACCCCUGCCUCCUCAGAUACAACUUCAUUGGGAAGUUUGAGAGUCUGGAAGAAGAAGCCAACUUCCUGUUGCAGAGCCUGGGUGCGCCCAGGAACCUGACCUUCCCCGAUUUCAAAGACAGGAACCCUCUGGCUGAGAGGACUUCCUCCAAAAUCACCCAGAAAUACUUCUCACAGCUCAACUCCACAGAGCGGCAGAAGGCCUUCGACUUCUACUACAUGGAUUAUCUGAUGUUUAACUACCCCAAACCCUUCAAAGACCUGCACUGAGGAGACAGAGGCCAGUUUGAACUCUGAGCUGAUCACGGGGUGUUGACUUCCAUACCUGUGACAGGAACAUGGCUGCAGGGUGUUUUAAAUGCUGCACGUCACGGAGACUGUUUCUGGGGCCAGAUGUUUUUCUUACUGAACGUGCAGAGGUGGUGUUCCGGUGGGCUCUAAAUAUGCACUAUAGUGAUGGUGUUACCUGUUUGUUUUAUCAAACCCUUUUAAAGAGGAGCCAACAGGUUUUAUUUUUCUGUCUGUCAAAGGAAUGACACCAGUUCUGAUCCACAGAAACAAAGAUGCAGGGCUGAAACCAGCAACAGUUUUCAUGAUAGAUUCGUCUGUCAGUUGUUCUCCUGGAUAAUUAAUUAAAUGUAUGGUCUACAAAACAUGAGAGAACACAGUUAGACUGAUUUAUCAGCUGAUUUCAGCUCCCUGCAGAUGUUUCCAUAUCAGUGCACACGUCAUCUGAUCAGUGACAAUAAAUGUCCAACUAUGUGUUAAUGUUAUCAGAUCGUUUAAACACCGAAUUUCAAUGUCUCAAAAGUCCAGUAGUAGUGGCGCUGUAUUCAGACAACAGUGGAAAAGGCCCGUGACAGUUUCUCAGUCCAAGGUGACGUCUUCCGAUGUGUUGUUUUGUCCGACCAACAGUUCAAAACUCAGAGAUUCGGUUACUGUCACAUAAGACGAAAGUAGCCAAAAUGGAAGAAUCCUCACAGUUGAGAAGAAGGAACCAGGAACUGUUUGGAUUGAAAAAUGAAUUAAAAUAGUUGAUGAUUAAACUAAUCGAUUAAUGGACUCAUCGUUUCAGCUCUACAGAAAGUGGAAUCUGUUCAUUUAAACAAACCAGCGGCUGCUGAUAACUUUUCUUUUAUCACGGCGGUGACAGAAGCAGACCGACUGAUCGACACUUUGGAUAAGACGUGAAUUAUGCUCCAGCAGAGCUGCACAGAAACAUCUCUGCUGGACCUCAGAGGAGGCGACGUGCACCUCUUCCAUGUGUCAGACGCUCAGAUCACAAAGUGUAACGGCUUCAAGGCCCAGAAUCAAGUUUCUCAGUUCGCUAAACCUGAGAUGACCUUCGGGAGCUCAGACCGCACGAGAGUUCAGAGUUCAGCAGUGAUUAAAGUAAAUUACAUUAAAUUCAAUUAAAUUACAGCCUCUCUUUGCUUCCGUGUCUGUGGACUGGAGGUGUUGCAGUUACAUGGUUCAGGUCUUGGCCAUUAAGAUGCCUCACAAAUUAUUAUUCAGGGGAACUAUUUUGAUUUGAAUUGAUUUAAUUAAAGGGAACAAAUAACUGACAUGAGGGAACUCCCCCUCCAUGAAACUUCCAGCUCUGUUAAGACAAAGAAAUGCUUUUUGCUGGUGUUCUCUAACAUUCUGUCCUGAAGAGAUUCCGCUGGGACUGAAUGUUGUCUCCUAAUAAAACUUGUGCACAGACAGAGUUGGUGCACAGGCGUUAAACUUUAUCACGUCCCUCAAGGUUAGCAGGACAUUCGUGAUUAUUUUGAAGCAGUCAAGCUGUCGUCACGUGCUCGACGUCUCUUGAUGGAGUUGGAGACGACCUGAAAGGAGAUGAUUUUGUCUGCGGACUCAUCGUGUUCGCUCUCACUGACUCUGCCAAACUUCAUCUUACUGCCUUUUCUUUGUCGUAGCCUUCAGUUAACCCGACUCUAGCUUCAUUACACAGCUGAAAGUGAACAACACGCAGCUCUAACGACUUCUGUGAAGUUUGAUUUACAUUCAUUUCUCCAAGACUGCGUCUGCAUUAAGCUGCCUAGUGUUUAAAUCUUCUGCACUGAUGGAGUCUCCAGGUGGUUUCAGUGGAGAACUCUGUCCACAGUCAAACACCUGGACAACAUGACAACUGGUAAAUCUCUUCUGUUCAGCAACAAACAAUAAAACUGCAUCACAGCAACAUCUGCUGAGGACUGAGACGGAGAGCCAGCUGAUAACAUCUGGAUUUUAUCAUCAAACUAACAUGAAUCGGGUCUAUGACAGCAGCUGUGUGUUUGACUGUGUGGACAUUUAAAGUGACUGAUCACAGACAAAGUUAAAAACACAAAGUUCCUCUUGACGUUAUGUCACGGUUAAGUAAUUUCUCAGUUUUUCCUGAGCACACUGAAACACCCAGCUGCAGUCAGACAUUUACACUUCAGAGUUUUGGAAAAGCUCAGUUCUGGGGUGAAAAAUGCUUUUUCAGUCCGGAAAUGGAAAGAAAAAGAGAAAUCCACAUGUUUCAGUAGCUCAGUGUGGAUGUAGUCUGGAUGUGUCAGUCAUAUUCUCAUCAGAAAGACUGUUGUUUAUUUGUUCUGGUCGUCUGUAACGAGGAGGAAUAAUAAGAGACUGAAUCCACAAACUGGCAGAUGGAAGCUUCUGUUCAAACUGAAACGACAGAGCAUCUUCCCGCCUUUCUGAGAGUGAAGUCUCUGCCGCUCUGCCGUCUGGACAGAAACAUGUUCCUCUGACAUGAAGGUGACCUCUAAGCCUUAACACUGCCAUCUCACCUGAUGCAUUACAUCGGCUGUUUGAAACCUUUCUCUGACUCCAAAUAAAUGUCUGAGAGUCUUGUUAAAAAUUGUUUCCAUCAAGAAUCACAGUUGGAGGAGAUGAGCGUCCCGUGGGAAAAGGCGAUUUUAUUAAAGCGAGUUACAGCACCACCAAGAGGAAG